UACGUAGGGUGCGAGUGUUGUCCGGAAUUAUUGGGCGUAAAGGGCUCGUAGGCGGUUUGUCGCGUCGGGAGUGAAAUCCACUGGCUUAACUGGUGGCUUGCUUUCGAUACGGGCAGACUGGAGGUAUGCAGGGGAGAACGGAAUUCCUGGUGUAGCGGUGAAAUGCGCAGAUAUCAGGAGGAACACCGGUGGCGAAGGCGGUUCUCUGGGCAUGUCCUGACGCUGAGGAGCGAAAGUGUGGGGAGCGAACAGG
rnacentral:rRNA from 1 species